CGCCUGUUUAUUAAAAACAUAGUUUUUAAAUUUUAUUAAAAAUAUAACCUGCCCAUUGAGUUUAUUAAAAGGCCGCAGUAUUUUGACUGUGCUAAGGUAGCAUAAUCAUUAGGUUUUUAAUUGAAAUCUAGAAUGAAUGGUUUUAUGAAAUAUUAGCUUUUUUAGUUUUAUAAGUUGAAUUUUAUUUAUAAGUUAAAAAGCUUAUAUAUUUAAAAGGGACGAGAAGACCCUAUAGAAUUUUAUAAUUUAUUAUUUAUUUUUAAUUAUUUUAUUAUUUAAUUAAUUAUUAAUUAUUUUGUUGGGGAGAUAUUUAAAUUUAUAAAACUUUAAUUUAAUAAAUCAAUAAAUAUUUGUAAAUUUGAUCUUUUAUUAUAGAUUAAAAAAAUAAAUUACCUUAGGGAUAACAGCAUUAUGAUUUUAAAAAGUUCUUAUUUUUAAAAUAGUUUAUGACCUCGAUGUUGGAUUAAAAUAAUUUUUAUAGAAGAUAUAUAGAAAAUAAGU
rnacentral:rRNA from 1 species